GAUGAACGCUGGCGGCGUGCCUAAUACAUGCAAGUCGAGCGAAUGGAUUAAGAGCUUGCUCUUAUGAAGUUAGCGGCGGACGGGUGAAUAACACGUGGGUAACCUGCCCAUAAGACUGGGAUAACUCCGGGAAACCGGGGCUAAUACCGGAUAACAUUUUGAACCGCAUGGUUCGAAGUUGAAAGGCGGCUUCGGCUGUCACUUAUGGAUGGACCCGCGUCGCAUUAGCUAGUUGGUGAGGUAACGGCUCACCAAGGCAACGAUGCGUAGCCCACCUGAGAGGGUGAUCGGCCCCCCUGGGACGGAGACACGGCCCAGACGCCAACGGGAGGCAGCAGGAGGGAAUCUUCCGCAAUGGACGAAAGUCUGACGGAGCAACGCCGCGUGGGUGAUGAAGGCUUUCGGGUCGUAAAACUCUGUUGUUAGGGAAGAACAAGUGCUAGUUGAAUAAGCUGGCACCUUGACGGUACCUAACCAGAAAGCCACGGCUAACUACGUGCCAGCCGCCGCCGUAA
rnacentral:rRNA from 1 species